rnacentral:lncRNA from 1 species
AAAAAAUUCAAAAAACCACAACAACUUCCUACUUCCACCCCAGGCUACUCUAUUCAAAAAUAGAAGAAACGAUGCUAGAAUUAGUAACA